AGAUGGCGACCGGCGCACGGGUGAGUAACACGUAUCCAACCUGCCGAUAACUCGGGGAUAGCCUUUCGAAAGAAAGAUUAAUACCCGAUGGCAUAAUAGAACCGCAUGGUUUGAUUAUUAAAGAAUUUCGGUUAUCGAUAGGGAUGCGUUCCAUUAGGCAGUUGGUGGGGUAACGGCCCACCAAACCUUCGAUGGAUAGGGGUUCUGAGAGGAAGGUCCCCCACAUUGGAACUGAGACACGGUCCAA
rnacentral:rRNA from 1 species